UACGUAGGGUGCAAGCGUUGUCCGGAAUUAUUGGGCGUAAAGAGCUCGUAGGCGGCUUGUCACGUCGACUGUGAAAUCCCUGGGCUCAACCCAGGAACUGCGUCCGAUACUGGUUGGCUUGAAUCCGGGAGAGGGAUGUGGAAUUCCAGGUGUAGCGGUGAAAUGCGUAGAUAUCUGGAGGAACACCGGUGGCGAAGGCGACAUCCUGGACCGGUAUUGACGCUGAGGCGCGAAAGCCAGGGGAGCAAACGGG
rnacentral:rRNA from 1 species